GCACGGCCAAGGCCGGGCGGCCGCCCUGCCCCCGCUUCCUUUCACGCUGUCGCUGCCCUUAGGGGGUUGUAGCCACUGUGCCCGGAGGGAGGCGGCGGUGGCCAGUAAUGCCUGGGAAACUCCUCUGGGGGGACAUUAUGGAGCUGGAAGCACCCUUGGCGGAGUCCGAGAGCCAGAAGAAGGAGAGGCAAAAGCUGUCACCGCCAUCCAUCUCCAGAACUUUUCAUUGUCCCAGACUGAAACUCUGUGCCCAUUAAACACCCACUUCUCAUUCCUCUCUCCUUCCACUCCCGGCAACCACCAUUCUACUUUCGCUCUGUGAAUUUGACUACUGAAGCUACCUAGAGUGUAAGCAGAAAACCAAGCAGACCUUAACACGUGAACAGAAAGAAGGAGCCUUCUCCAAUUUUCCUGUUUCUGAAGAGACGAUAAAGCUUCUGAAAGCAUUUGGCCAUCCAGUGUCAUUGGUCUCAGAGGCCGGCAGUUAUUGGAGAUGUCCUUCAAGUCUACAGUGGGUCUGAAGGGAGGGCUAUUAUUUUCUGUGAGACCAAAAAGAAUGUAACUGAAAUGGCCAUGAAUCCACACAUAAAACAGAUGGUGUCUCUGUCACCCAGACUGGAGUGCAGUGGCAUGAUCUUGGCUCACUGCAGCCU